rnacentral:rRNA from 1 species
UACGGGGGGGGCAAGCGUUGUUCGGAAUUACUGGGCGUAAAGGGCUCGUAGGCGGCCAACUAAGUCAGACGUGAAAUCCCUCGGCUUAACCGGGGAACUGCGUCUGAUACUGGAUGGCUUGAAUUCGGGAGAGGGAUGCAGAAUUCCAGGUGUAGCGGUGAAAUGCGUAGAUAUCUGGAGGAAUACCGGUGGCGAAGGCGGCAUCCUGGACCGACAUUGACGCUGAGGAGCGAAAGCCAGGGGAGCAAAGCGGG